UACGUAGGGGGCUAGCGUUGUCCGGAAUCAUUGGGCGUAAAGAGCGUGUAGGCGGCCAGGUAGGUCAGCUGUGAAAACUCGAGGCUCAACCUCGAGACGCCGGUUGAAACCAUCUGGCUAGAGUCCGGAAGAGGAGAGUGGAAUUCCUGGUGUAGCGGUGAAAUGCGCAGAUAUCAGGAAGAACACCCGUGGCUAAGGCGGCUAUCUAGUACGGUACUGACGCUGAGACGCGAAAGCGUGGGGAGCGAACAGG
rnacentral:rRNA from 1 species